AACCUAGCACACCUGCGGUGUGUACCUGCGGAAGGAUCAUUACCGAGUUUACAAACUCCCAACCCUAUGUGAACCUUACCAAUCGUUGCUUCGGCGGGCUUAGCCCCCGCGCCCUCGCCGGCGCCGGGAGAAAGGCGCCCGCCGGGGACCCCAAACCCAAUGUUUUUCAUGCAGUAUUUCUGAGUGGCAAACGCAAAAAUAAAUCAAAACUUUUAACAAUGGAUCUCAGAUCGGAAGAGC
rnacentral:misc_RNA from 1 species